GAUCCCUAUCCAGGGAUUCUCAAAACUACAGCAACAGCCAAAGUAAGCCCUAGGUGUGACUUUCGAUUACCAUUACCCAGAACACCCAAGAAAAAAACCCUACUACAGAAUACAGAUACAGAGCUAUUGAACAAGAGAGAUGUGGAGAUCCAUUGCAUCAAAAUCUUCACUCACUAGAAAUUUUGGACGAAAGUUGUUUUCUUUGCAAAACCCACGAUCUCAGGUAAUACAUAAACCCCUGAAUUCAUCACCAUUUUCUUCACAUAUAUCAUCCACGCAACAUUUCCAUCAUCAAAAUCACAGGUUUUUAUCUCAUUCUUCUUCUAUAAGUGAAUUUGAAACUGAGAAUCAUGAUGCCACUUCUUCUGAAGAGUUAGAAUUGGAAAAUGGUGAGGGUUUUGAUGACACCCAUGUUGCUAGUUCUUCAAAAAAUUAUGAAUUGACUCAUGAAUUUGAUGAGAAUGCUGAAAAUAAUGAUGCCCAGAUAGUUGGUUUUAGCUCAAAUGAUCAGGAAUUAAAAGGGGUUGUUAAUGAAGGAAUUUCUGUGAUUGAUGUUGAAAAAUUGGAAAAUGUGUUGUCUUUGCUUCAAAGUAGUGUAGAUGGGUCUUUAGAGUCUAAUCUUGAUAACAUAGAUUUGAGAUUGAGUGAGGAGUUUGUGGUGAGAGUGCUUAAAACCCCACUUAUUCCUGGGGAUCAUUUGAUUUGGUUUUGCAAAUGGGUUUCGAGUAGAAACGAUUUUGAAGUUACUACCUUGGUUUUGAAUGAGCUUGCCCGUGCUAUUUGCAAUGAUCCUGCACUUAAAAGGAAAGAUGUUUAUGCUUUGUGGGAUAUGACAAAGGAAAUAGGUGAGAAAGAGAGUGGGUUGCUUAACGCCGAAAUACUGAAUCAGUUGUUAUCGGCAUUCUCGAAAUUGGGCAAGGGAAAGGCUGCAUUUGAGGUAUUUGGGAAGUUUGAGGAACUUGGUUGUGUUCCGAAUGUAGACACUUAUUAUUUUACUAUUGAAGCACUUUGCAAGAGGUCGUUCUAUGACUGGGCUACAUUAGUUUGCCAGAAAAUGCUUGAUGCUAAAAUGCUACCCGAAAGUGAGAAGGUUGGUGAGAUCAUAUCUUUGUACUGCAAAGGCCAUAGGUCCAAAGAGGCCCAUGUUGUCUAUCUUGCAGCAAAGGAGAACAAUAGAUAUCCUCCUCAGAAGGCGGUUAAUUUUUUGGUAAGUUGUCUAUCGAAGGUGGAUGAAACUGUGAACUUAGCACAGGAGAUGCUGGUUGAUUUUUCUGGUGAAGUUCGUAAACAUGCUAUCAAUCCAUUCUCGUGGGUGAUUCGUGGUUUGUGUAGAAAAAAAGACAUUGAGGGGGCAAAGAAAUUAUUCAAUGAGAUGAUAGUGGAAGGCCCACCUCCUGGAAAUGGAGUCUUUAAUGUUAUCAUCAAUUCUCUCUCUAAAGCUGGAGAUUUGGAAGAGGCCAAAGACAUGCUGAAACUGAUGGAGAGUAGGGGACUUAAGCCCGAUGUUUACAGUUAUAGUGUCAUAAUUAGUGGUUAUUCAAAGGGUGGUUUGAUGGAAGAAGCGUGCAAAGUCUUGUCAAUGGCCAAAAAAGAACAUCCCAAGCUCUGCCCUGCUACCUUUCACACGCUCAUUCGAGGGUAUUGCAAUCUCCGAGAUUUUGAUAAUGCUUUGAAGUUGCUGAGUGAGAUGAAGGACUAUGGGGUUGAAGCUAAUGUAGAUGAGUACAAUAAGUUGAUUCAAUCACUUUGUUUGAAGGCCUUGGAUUGGAAAAAGGCGGAGAAGCUGCUGGAAGAAAUGAAGGAGAAAAAUUUGCAUCUUCCUGGUAUUACUAGAGGUCUCAUAAAUGCAGUGAAAGAGUUGGAGCAAGAGGCAAUUGGGUCUGAAGAAGCGCAAUCCAAAACUGUAGUAGAUUAGUGGCUGAAGCUGCCUCUGUUCCCUUUUUUUUUGUGCAUGCGGAACCCAUAAUAAAUUAGCAUCACAUGAGUUGCACAAACAGCUUGAGGCAUUCAACUUCUACUCCUUGUACAUUGUGUUAAGGAUGAUGGAGCCAGGAAGACGAGGGAGAGAUUCAGGUACAGGAUGCCCCAGCCUCAACCCCAACAGGAGAUUCUCAUGAAAUUCGACCAUUACUUUGGAUAUUGAGAAGAUGUUGGAAAAUAUGUAAGUUCAGUCCUCCCCGGCCCCUGCCCCUGCCCCUCCAUGAUUGGUAAUCCUUCAGCAAGCAGUAUAAGUGAAGAAUGUCCAAAGUACUCUCGAGUCUCUAAACCGAUCUAGCCAACUCGUUUGAUAUCCCCAUUUGGGAGGCUUUUGCUUUAAUGUUAAAGCAAGAAAGUCCGAACAGACGUCUUUCUAUGCCAUUCUUGAUUUGCUUGCGUCAAGCUAACCUUAUGAAAUGGUCCUGAACUGCUGAGUGAGAAGUGCUUACGAAUACGUUCAUGGAUCUUUUCUUCUUGUAUUGACAAUUUAAUGGUGAUUUACUGAUAUUGUUCGUUUAUCAA